GCGCCCUUAGCUCAACUGGAUAGAGCGUUAGUCUACGAAACUAAAGGCUGCGGAUUCGAGUUCCUCAGGGCGCGCCA
rnacentral:tRNA from 1 species